rnacentral:lncRNA from 10 species
ACUCUGCUUCAGCUCACCCUCCAUGGGCUGCACUCACCUUCCAACCAGUCUCAAUGAGAUGAACCAGGUACCUCAGUUGGAAAUGCAGAAAUCACCCGUCUUCUGCGUCAAUCACGCUGAGAACUGCAGACCAGAGCUGUUCCUAUUUGGCCAUCUUGGAACCGGUCUGAGUCUGUUUUAGCCAGAUCAAGUACUUGCAGACACUUGAAGAAGCAUCUUUCUUGUGAUCUCCUGGCUGGUACCCUGAAGUCCUGUUAUGCCAAUGGACCAGCAACCCUCGCAGAAUGGUGCAGGCUCUGGCUGCUGGCGUUAUAAACUGGACGGCAAGGCUACCGGGAGCUGACAGCACGAGGAGGUGGCUGAAAAAGUCAUAGCCAUCUGACGGACUCUGGACAGACCCCACCAGAAUUAGUGAUGUAUGAGAGAAGAGAAAAAACAAAAGGGCAUGUUGUUAUUUUCUUAAAUACGUGAUAAGUAGGGCC